GAUGAACGCUGGCGGCGGGCCUAAUACAUGCAAGUCGAGCGGACGGACGAGGAGCUUGCUCCUCUGACGUUACCGGCGGGCGGGUGAGUCACACGUGGAUGACCUACCUAUAAGACUGAGGUACCUUCGGGAACCCGGAGCUAAUACCGGUUCAUAUAUUGAACCGCAUGGUUCAAUAGUGAAAGACGGUUUUGCUGUCCCUUAUAGGUGGUUCCGCGCCGCAUUAGCUAGUUGGUAAGGUAACGGCUUACCAAGGCAACGAUGCGUAGCCGACCUGAGAGGGUGAUCAGCCACACUGGAACUGAGACACGGUCCAGACUCCUACGGGAGGCAGCAGUAGGGAAUAUUCCGCAAUGGGCGAAAGCCUGACGGAGCAAUGCCGCGUGAGUGAUGAAGGUCUUCGGAUUGUAAAACUCUGUUAUUAGGGAAGAACAAAUGUGUAAGUAACUAUGCACGUCUUGACGGUACCUAAUCAGAAAGCCACGGCUAACUACGUG
rnacentral:rRNA from 1 species